AAAAUGUCAAAAAAUUUCCGGAAAAUGUAGACACCAGAAGUUUCACUGUGAAAAUAUAAUUUUUUUUUCAUAUUUUAAACUUUAAAACGGGUCCAUUUUGACCUGCAGGACAACACGAGGGUUAAUGUUCCUGAAUAGGUGCAGCAGCGUCUUCAUGUUGAUGCUAAACUGUGGUUGUAAGCGUUGAUUCACUUUAUUUCCUCCUGGAGUUUGUUUUUCACUGCAGCUGUUGUUGACAGACUUGUUUGCUGAGAUGCUUUCAGCUGUCAGCUCCUAUUUUUGUUUGUUCCCUCACAGUGCAGAGUUCCUGGACAAAGAAGAGGAAGAGAUGUUUUACUACUCGUGUCCACCUGGUGUUUCUCAUGUGAAGAGCAUUGAGGCUGAUGUCUGAGGAUUCCAGCUGUCUGGAUGUCAGAUAAAAGCGCUGCUGUUAACCUUCACCUCCUUCCUCGUCUGUGAGCUCAGCCUUUAACGUUAAUGGCACCUAAAACUAUUAUACUUCUCUCUGCAGUUCCGGCUUCUCGUCUGGCUCUUUUAAAUUGAUCCCCAGAUCAUCAGAAGUGUUCAGAGGGGAGGUAGAAGUCGUUCUCUUUUCUUUUCUCCUCAGUUACACAUCAUCUACUGUAGGUUUAGCUUAGUGCUGCUGGCCCACUUCCUGGAUUUAUAGGAACUGCAUUAAGUCGACAGGUUUAGUUUGAAACAAGCCUCCCUGUGUUGGUUUCCUGUUGAAUACAGAGCUGGUUUAAAGUUUUUCUUUCAUUUGUUUGCACCUCGGUACAUUUCAGAACCGUACAGCAUCUGUUCCUCUACAGACACUACAGCAGGGAGAUCACGUUUUAGCAGCGGCAGCUCCAUAGCUUUGGAAUAAUCUCCCUCUUUUAAUCAAAUGUUCCUUCUCUGCUGAUACUUUGAAGGAAAAUAACAAGGCAUCCAUGUUCUCAGAGGCUUUCAGGUGUUCUAAUACUUCAGCAUUUUGUGUUUAUUUUGUUUUUCAUGUUGUCGUCCUGCUUUGUCUUGUUUUUCAAUGUUUUGUUAUGUUGUACAAAUUGGUUUUCUGAAGUUUUCAUCCUGUUUUGUGUGUUGCUUUUUUGCACUUUGGUCAGCUGUAGCUGUUUUAAAACUCUUCCUGAUGAGUAGCUGUCAUGACUCUGAGAUGAACAUCAGAUCUGUGGAACAUCAUCUAGUGAGCUCUGCUGGGUGCAUUCAGGGUUUCAUCAUGGAGCCAAAGACUGUGUUUGGUCUGUAUGAUGGUCAUCAGAGUGGAGAACAAACAUCAGCAGCCUGAGAUGGUCCAAGCUCCAUGAUGAGGAUCAUCUUGGUGGUGGAGAGAUGUGGAUCUACAGCUGCAGCUACAUUUUGAUUCCAGUUCUUUUUCCAACUUUUGUAAAAUAUUACAUUCUUUUUUUCAUGAUUCAUGGCAGGGCUGCACAGUGGAUCAGUGGUUAGUACUGUCACCUUGCAGCUAGAAGAUCCCUGGUUCGCAUCCCGGCCUUCCUGGGAUCUUCCUGCAUGGAGUCUCCAUGUUCUCCUGUACAUUUUGCUGGGAAGAGUCGGUGGAUUCAGCGUGAUGCAGAAAAUCAACAUGCUUCAACAAAGUGUAGCUGCUGACGGAGUUUUUCUCCUCCACUGGUUUGCUUUAAUGAUGUCAACAGUUGCAGUCCUGUUUCCAUUCGCUAACACACAUCUGCAGAGGAAACCAGACUUUUCCACGGCUGUCCAGAGCACAGGUAUUAAACCCGAGCAGCGAAGGGCCUGACGGGGGGCUGCUCACAUCUCCUCCUUCCUUCCUCUGUCCUGCCUGGCAGUGCCGUCGUAGCCAUGCGAGAAGAACCGUCGGUGCAGACAGCAGAUUACUGCCGGGCCAGCAGCUGACCUGCUGCUGGCCCCGCCUCCUUCAGGAAGAAGACUCUCUCUGUUGACCACAUGGCAGCUGACAAAGUUGAUGACGGCUUUAACUGCAGACGACGGCAGACGAAGAGCAACACAAGAGCUGUCGGGCCUCGAAAUGUGCUGGAGAGCUGUGCAUAGAGAUAAGAGGAAACGAGGAGCCUCUAGGAUGCAGCAGCUGACACACACCGCUGCCUCUCCCAGGACUGCCCUCCCUUCCAUCCCACCUGGCCGAGCUGUCGGAGGCCUGGCUCGGUGCCGUGGCGUUCAGCCGGCGUCUCCCUGGCACGUCCUCCGGCUGUGGGAUCGAGGGAUGGGUCGCUGCCAGCCGGGGCUCCUCCCAUCAUUGUGGUUGUCCACUCUCUGGAUGUCAGGAUGCCCGCAGGCCGGCGCUUCCACCUGUUCAACGGGAACCUGAAGCGCACCUCCAGCAGCCCCCAUAUGUCACCCAGAUCCAACCAUUCACUCCCCAGCGCUGUGACAGAUGCACCUGCAGUCGGCCUCGCUGCAGCUCGUGUUGCUUUGAAAUGUGGUGAAUCAAAGUGAUGACUGCCAGACUUCACUAAAUACGACCCUCCAUCGCUGUUUCUGCUUCAGAAUGACUCCAGUGUUUAUAUUCUUCUCCUCAUUUGGCUCUCUCCCAUGUGGUGAACACAUUUCCAGACUCUACGUAUGUUAGCUGAUAAAUAGCCUACCGUACUGGACAUGGAGGUGGAAUUAUCUAUCAGUUAUUCUGGUUCAGUUUGACUGAAGCAGAAGAAUGAAAAGCAGUGGUUUAGUUUUUAUGGAGCAUCCAGGCUGAGACUAUUACUCACACUGGGGUGGCACAAUGCCUCCUUAAUGUUUUUCCACUAACCGCUGUGGGCCAAAUAUCCAUUUUUUGGUCCUUUACUCAUUUAAUUUGCUUUUACAGGCAAGACUACCAUUUGGAAGUACAUGGGAACUCAUGUGAGAGGCGUUUCUAUGAAGCUUUCACUUUAUUAAAAAUAUAGAAUGUUUGCUUCAGUUCUACUUUGUAGUUCUUGAUAAGGAUUCUAGGAUGAUAUCACAUUAAGCUGCUUAAGAUAAAUGGAUCUACGACACCAUCUCCAUCCAGGAUUUAGUUUCUUUUGUUUUGGCUGCAGUUCUCGGUC
ensembl:lncRNA